CGGGCGCUGACGCGCGGCGGCGGCUGCGAGGGGGCGCGGCGGCCCCGGCACCGGGAUCCGCUCCCGGCUCCCGGGCUCGGUUCCGGGCUCGGUUCCGGCUCCGCUCCGCGCCAGCGGCCGAGGCAGCCGCAGCCCGGCCGGCACACGCAGCGCUCCCGCGGCAGCGGAGCCGGACACCCAGCACCGGGAGCAUCUCUGCGUUCGGACCCUGGCAGGAGCUGCGAGUGGCCGGCAGCGACACGGGGACAGCGCGGCUCCCACGGGACCGUCACGGGCUGGCAAGGACUCCGUGGAAAUGGGCAUUGCUGCCAUAAACACCUCGUGUCGGCGGACACCGCCUGCGCGGCUGAGCUUCAGGAGCGCACCGGGAGCGGGAGCAAAGGGACAAUAACGCUCCAUUGAAGUUUCUGGGAUAUCUGAGGGGGAUAACGGAGUGCUUGUGAGAUGAUGGCCCGUUCACACCCCAGCCUGGCAAUGAGACCCCCCCGCUCCGACUCACAUCGGACAUGCAGCUUCGUGCGUGCCUUCAGCCUCCCACGGACAUCAGGGCUGUGUCAGAGCUGCCGUGUGCCCCAUGGGCUGUGGAACACGAGUGUGAGCUCGGGACCGAGUGCCCCGGGCUGGGGCUGCGGGGAGGGGAGCUGGGAGCUGCUGCAGCCCUGGGACACCGACCUCGAACAGGGGCUGGCACUGCCCGGGGGCCAACACCAGCUCCAGGCUGUGCCUCGCUCUCCGUUUGGGGACCUCACACCCGUGUGACACUGGACAGAAGGACACUCAGCCCCUUUCCCCUCUGAAGGCUCACUGGAGGGGCAGCACUCUGGAUCUGGGUGAUGGCAGCGGCACAGCUGUCCCUGUGCAGUGUGUCCCUGCUGGGGGGCUGGCAGUGCCCCCUGCACCCCUGGGCACAGGCAGGGCACCCAGCCCCUGAUACACAAAUGUCCUUUUGUAUUAGAUCCUCUUUGUUGGUCUGAAACUUUGGUCUGUUGGAGAGGCAGCAAAUCCCUUCCCUGCCAAAGUCUGUGCUGAAACACACAGCAGGUUAGACAGGGUGUGAGCAGUGGAAGUGUGGCCGUGUAGGGAAGGGCCUGAUGCAGGGGCUGCACUGGUGCUGCAGGGGCUGCACUGGUGCUGCAAGAUCUGCACUGGUGCUGCAGGAGUGUCACUAUAGGACAUGAAAGAACACAAGCGCACACCGCUGUUCUCAAGGUGAAGGAAAAAGGGAAGUUUAUUUUCUGACUCUAACAUUUAUAGAUUUCCAAAAGUGGCAGUGGAUUGGAGGGUGACAGUGCCACCUCUCCAAUGACACUGGGCAAACCAACAGUCCAUCAACUCUCUCCUCCGCCAUAAAAGAAUGCAAAACAAUGAGUUAUUUACAGAAAGUGUGUGAGAAAGUUCACUACAAGAAUGUCAACAUCAAAAGGCUCAGAAAAUCCUAAAACCCAGGGUGACACAGGAGCUGCUCUGGGGCUGCAGGAGCCUCCUGAGGAUGCCCCACAAGCUCAGCCCUGCCGUGCCCACCGAGCCCUGUUGUUGGCUAAGGGCUCUGUACAAAUCACAAACAGGACAGGACUGCUGGGAAUGUGCCUUGAGCUGUUUGAUUUUCCAGCAUCAGCCUCAUUCCAUGGUGAUGAAAAUGGGAGGAUGUCAUCAGCUGACAUCCCAGGCAGCAGAUAAAACUCCAUUAUUAACCCUAGAACUUGGAUAUGGUAAUUAGAUGUAUCACCGAGGGCCCUGGCUGGAGGUUGGUGUGGGCUGGACCGGCUGUUGGGGUGUCACUGAUGGAGAGGUGCUGCAGGCCAGAACACAGCGGUGGGACAUGCAGGGUGGAGAGCAGAGCCCAGCAAGGACA